CGAACGGGUGAGUAACGCGUGAGGAACCUGCCUCAAAGAGGGGGACAACAGUUGGAAACGACUGCUAAUACCGCAUAAGCCCACGGCUCGGCAUCGAGCAGAGGGAAAAGGAGUAAUCCGCUUUGAGAUGGCCUCGCGUCCGAUUAGCUAGUUGGUGAGGUAACGGCCCACCAAGGCAACGAUCGGUAGCCGGACUGAGAGGUUGAACGGCCACAUUGGGACUGAGACACGGCCCAG
rnacentral:rRNA from 1 species